rnacentral:rRNA from 1 species
AACGAACGCUGGCGGCAGGCCUCAAACAUGCAAGUCUAGGGGGUAGCAAUACCACCGGCGGACGGGUGCGUAACGCGUGGGAACAUACCUUUCGGUACGGAACAACUGCGGGAAACUGCAGCUAAUACCGUAUACGCCCUUACGGGGAAAGAUUUAUCGCCGAAGGAUUGGCCCGCGUUCGAUUAGCUAGUUGGUGGGGUAAAAGCUCACCAAGGCUACGAUCGAUAGCUGUUCUGAGAGGAAGAUCAGCCACACUGGGACUGAGACACGGCCCAGACUCCUACGGGAGGCAGCAGUUGGGAAUCUUGGACAAUGGGGGAAACCCUGAUCCAGCCAUGCCGCGUGAGUGAUGAAGGCCUUCGGGUUGUAAAACUCUUUCGACGGGGACGAUAAUGACGGUACCCGUAGAAGAAGCUCCGGCUAACUUCGUGCCAGCCGCCGCCGUAA